rnacentral:rRNA from 1 species
CAGUCGCCGCGGUAAUACCGAGGGUGCAAGCGUUAAUCGGAAUUACUGGGCGUAAAGCGUGCGCAGGCGGUUAUAUAAGACAGAUGUGAAAUCCCCGGGCUCAACCUGGGAACUGCAUUUGUGACUGUAUAGCUAGAGUACGGCAGAGGGGGAUGGAAUUCCGCGUGUAGCAGUGAAAUGCGUAGAUAUGCGGAGGAACACCGAUGGCGAAGGCAAUCCCCUGGGCCUGUACUGACGCUCAUGCACGAAAGCGUGGGGAGCAAACAGGAUUAGAUACCCGAGUAGUCCCUGUCUCUUAUAC